rnacentral:siRNA from 1 species
UCGAGUAAUUUCAGGAUGGGUC